AACGCGAAGAACCUUACCUGGGUUUGACAUCCUCUGACCGGUGUAGAGAUACAUUUUUCGUAGCAAUACGACAGAGAGACAGGUGCUGCAUGGCUGUCGUCAGCUCGUGUGGUGACAUGUUGGGUUAAGUCCCGCAACGAGCGCAACCCCUGUCUUUAGUUGCCAGCAUUCAGUUGGGCACUCUAAAGAGACUGCCGUGGUUAACACGGAGGAAGGUGGGGAUGACGUCAAGUCCUCAUGGCCUUUAUAUCCAGGGCGACACACGUGAUACAAUGGAUGGUACAGAGGGAUGCGAAACCGCGAGGUGGAGCCAAUCUCAAAAAGCCAUUCUCAGUUCGGAUUGGAGUCUGCAACUCGACUCCAUGAAGUUGGAAUCGCUAGUAAUCGCGGAUCAGCACGCCGCGGUGAAUACGUUCCCGGGCCUUGUACACACCGAGACGUA
rnacentral:rRNA from 1 species